rnacentral:tRNA from 1 species
GCAUUGGUGGUUCGGUGAUAGAAUUUUUGCCUUCCACCCAGGAGAUCUGGGCUCGAUUCCGAGCCGAUGCC